rnacentral:rRNA from 1 species
AUUGAACGCUGGCGGCAGGCCUAACACAUGCAAGUCGAACGAGUGGCGGACGGGUGAGUAAUGUCUGGGAAACUGCCCGAUGGAGGGGGAUAACUACUGGAAACUGUGGCUAAUACCGCAUACCAUCGGAUGUGCCCAGAUGGGAUUAGCUAGUAGGUGGGGUAACGGCUCACCUAGGCGACGAUCCCUAGCUGGUCUGAGAGGAUGACCAGCCACACUGGAACUGAGACACGGUCCAGACUCCUACGGGAGGCAGCAGUGGGGAAUAUGGCACAAUGGGCGCAAGCCUGAUGCAGCCAUGCCGCGUGUAUGAAGAAGGCCUUCGGGUUGUAAAGUACUUUCAGCGGGGAGGCGUUACCCGCAGAAGAAGCACCGGCUAACUCCGUGCCAGCAGCCGCGGUAAUUC